CUCCUUGUUCCUCGUGUUUUAUUUCUGGUUCCUCAUGUUUUAUUCUCCAGGUUUCUGGUUCCUCUUGUUUUAUUGUGCAGGUUUCUGGUUCCUCUUGUUUUAUUCUCCAGGUUUCUGGUUCCUCUUGUUUUAUUCUCCAGGUUUCUGGUUCACUCAUGUUCUCUUCUCUCUCCUCUUUCACAAACUCCAUCUUCACAGCAGCAGAUCUCAGUUCAGAUGAUAAACUCCUCCAGAUAUUCCUGCUCGCUUCAAGCGACUGUGAGGAUGAGAGGUAUUUACUGAACUUAUUCAAAAACUGUUUUUUUUUU